rnacentral:lncRNA from 1 species
UUUGGGGUUCUUUUUGAGUAGAGGACAAUUAGAUUUCUAAUGUCCCCUCUAGUUGCACUUGUAGUAUGUGAUACUUCUUCUUUCUUUUUUUGGAUUGUCUUCUUUUUUCUUUGACCAUUUCUUCUUUAGGAAUUUUUUGAAUCUUUUAGUAAGCAGCCCCAAAUCUUCAUCUUCAUCUUCAUCCUCUGACAUAUCGCUUUCUUCAAAUUUGGUGGUUGACUUGAAUGUGAUGGUCUUCUUCUUCUUUGACUUUUUUUCUUCUUCUUUUUGAUGCAUGUUCCACUCAUGUGUCAUGAAUGAACCAAUCAAGU